rnacentral:rRNA from 1 species
AUUGAACGCUGGCGGCAUGCCUUACACAUGCAAGUCGAACGGCAGCAUGAUCUAGCUUGCUAGAUUGAUGGCGAGUGGCGAACGGGUGAGUAAUACAUCGGAACGUGCCCUGUAGUGGGGGAUAACUAGUCGAAGGAUUAGCUAAUACCGCAUACGACCUGAGGGUGAAAGUGGGGGACCGCAAGGCCUCAUGCUAUAGGAGCGGCCGAUGUCUGAUUAGCUAGUUGGUGAGGUAAAGGCUCACCAAGGCGACGAUCAGUAGCUGGUCUGAGAGGACGAUCAGCCACACUGGGACUGAGACACGGCCCAGACUCCUACGGGAGGCAGCAGUGGGGAAUUUUGGACAAUGGGCGAAAGCCUGAUCCAGCAAUGCCGCGCGUGUGAAGAAGGCCUUCGGGUUGUAAAGCACUUUUGUCCGGAAAGAAAUGGCUCUGGUUAAUACCUGGGGUCGAUGACGGUACCGGAAGAAUAAGGACCGGCUAACUACGUG